rnacentral:rRNA from 1 species
UGAGUUAAUUAAAUGGCCGCGAUAAUUUGAUCGUGCAAAGGUAGCAUAAUAAUUAGUUUCUUAAUUAGGAACUGGUAUGAAAGGUUGGACGAGAAAGAUACUGUCUCAAUUUAAUUUUAAUUAGAAUUUUAUUUUUAAGUUAAAAAGCUUAAAUAAUUUUAAAAGACGAGAAGACCCUAUAGAGUUUUAUAUUUAUAUUUUAUUUUUAAUUUUAGAAUUUUAUUUAAAAAUUUUUUUAUAAAUAUUUGAUUGGGGUGAUUGGAAAAUUAAAUUAACUUUUCUUUUUUAAUAACAUUAAUAAAUGAAUUUAUGAUCCAUAAUUUAUGAUUAAAAGAUUAAAUUACCUUAGGGAUAACAGCGUAAUUUUUUUUGAGAGUUCUUAUCGAAAAAAAAGUUUGCGACCUCGAUGU